ensembl:lncRNA
GUCCGCGCGCUCAGCAGCGCCUCGCGCUCUCUGCUAUGAGGGGACCGUCUCUUCUUUGGGCUGUUUUUCUGUGUUUCUUCCGGCGUCAGCACUGAAGAGAAACCGCUCUCAAGCCCAUGUGACGUAUACUGCUCCUUAUGUGACGAGGCUACACUACCGACGGUCCAGUGCUACUCUGAAUUCCUUAAAAUCUGCAGACUGAAUUUACAGAAUGAGCUGGAUAAUGUCAACUCCACCGACUUGUGCGUGUGGGAUAAAGUGAAAAGGUUAGUGGUGUUUCUGUGAAAGAUCACAUGGGAAUUUUUGCACGUAGGAAACCCCGGAUGAAAAGGCAGAAAUUCUGUUUUUUUUUUGUGUAUAAAAAAGUGUAUAAAAAAAUUUCUGGACUAUUUUCCGGGCAUCAUUCAGUUGGAAACCAUAACUUCUUGUAGUGUUACCUGGGUCCUUUGAAAUUUGGUGCUUUAAGUUCUAGCAAUGCUGCAAAAUUUCAAAUAAAACAAAAAUGGCUGAAAAAAAAGUUCAAAUGCUGAAAAUUCCAACAAGAAAAGUUUUCAUUCGGCAUCCGAAAAAUUCUAGUAAUGCGUCAUAAUUCUGACUACGAAAAUAGCAGAAACGUGAAAAUCAUUCAAAAAAAUGUCAAUAGUUGAAAUUUCUAGUGAUGCUCCGUAAUUUGGAAUACCAAAAUAGCAGAAAACGUUAAAAUUGUAAAAACAUUUCAACAAGAAAAGUUUAGUUUUGUGCAGUAAUGACCCAACCCCCCCCCCCCCCCCCCCCACCCCCCCAAAAAAAAAAAAAAAAACCCUCAGAAAUUUCAAUAAUAUUAUUAUUAUUUCUCUCUCUUUUUAAAUUACCCCCCCCC